rnacentral:rRNA from 1 species
CGAACGCUGGCGGCGUGCUUAACACAUGCAAGUCGAACGGAAAGGCCCUGCUUUUGUGGGGUGCUCGAGUGGCGAACGGGUGAGUAACACGUGAGUAACCUGCCCUUGACUUUGGGAUAACUUCAGGAAACUGGGGCUAAUACCGGAUAGGAGCUCCUGCUGCAUGGUGGGGGUUGGAAAGUUUCGGCGGUUGGGGAUGGACUCGCGGCUUAUCAGCUUGUUGGUGGGGUAGUGGCUUACCAAGGCGUUGACGGGUAGCCGGCCUGGGAGGGUUAGCGGCCACAGUACGACUAAGAUACGGCCCAGACUACGACAGGCGGCAGUAGGGGAGAAUGUUGCACAGUGGGAGGAAGCCUGAUGCAACGACGCGGGGGGGGGGAUGACGGCCUUCGGGUUAUAAACCGCUUUCGCCGGUGACGAAGCGGGAGUGACGGUAGUGGGUGAAGAAGCACCGGCUAACUACGUG